rnacentral:rRNA from 1 species
GACGAACGCUGGCGGCGUGCUUAAAACAUGCAAGUCGAACGGACUUCUCAUGAAGCUUGCGAUUGAGGAGUUAGUGGCGGACGGGUGAGUAACGCGUGGGCAACCUGCCCCUGAGCCCGGGAUAACAGUUCGAAAGGACUGCUAAGACCGGAUAUACUUGCGGGGAAGCAUUUCACUGCAAGGAAAGGGAACGCUCAGGGAUGGGCCCGCGUCCCAUUAGCUAGUUGGUGAGGUAACGGCCCACCAAGGCGACGAUGGGUAGCCGGCCUGAGAGGGUGAACGGCCACACUGGGACUGAGACACGGCCCAGACUCCUACGGGAGGCAGCAGUUGGGAAUCUUCGGCAAUGGGCGCAAGCCUGACCGAGCAACGCCGCGUGAGUGAUGAAGGUUUUCGGAUUGUAAAGCUCUGUCUUCCGGGACGAUAAUGACGGUACCGGAGGAGGAAGCCACGGCUAACUACGUG